rnacentral:misc_RNA from 1 species
GUAUCGACACCAUAACAAACAUAGAAUAUUGGCGCUGGGUUUUUUCGGGGUCUCAUUACAAGUCGAUUUACCAUAUCACACUCGCAAAUUGCCACACCAGGCGACUGUUACAUGCUAGACCAAAGAGAGGAACAACAAAUAUCGACGCAGAGAGAGAUGAAGUCUCCAAACUUCACAAACUGAGCAGAUUUACCAAAUCAAUUCUCAAUUGCCAU